CAAAGAUUAAGCCAUGCAUGUCUAAGUAUAAGCGAAUUUAUACUGCGAAACUGCGAAUGGCUCAUUAAAUCAGUUAUGAUCUACUUGACAAAUUCUUUACUACUUGGAUAACCGUGGUAAUUCUAGAGCUAAUACAUGCAACAAAGCCUCGACUUCGGAAGGGGUGCACUUAUUAGUUAAAAGCCAACUCGGGGUAAAACCCGGUUUUUUGGUGAUUCAUAAUAAUUAAGCUGAUGUAUGGCCUUGAGCCGACGACGGUACAUUCGAUUUUCUGCCCUAUCAGGCUUGAGAUUGUAAGAUAGAGGCUUACAAUGGCUACCACGGGUAACGGGGAAUUAGGGUUCGAUUCCGGAGAGGGAGCCUGAGAAACGGCUACCACAUCCAAGGAAGGCAGCAGGCGCGCAAAUUACCCAAUUCCGAUACGGAGAGGUAGUGACAAUAAAUAACAAUGCAGGGCCUUUAAGGUCUUGCAAUUGGAAUGAGUACAAUUAAAUCCCUUAACGAGGAUCAAUUGGAGGGCAAGUCUGGUGCCAGCAGCCGCGGUAAUUCCAGCUCCAAUAGCGUAUAUUAAAGUUGUUGCAGUUAAAACGUCCGUAGUCGCAACUUGGCCUUUAGGCAUACGGCAUAGGCUUCAUUGACUAUGGUUGUUGUGUCUUGGGCCUGUUUUCUGGUACAUGCUCGUUAGGCUUCGGUCUGGCGAGUAUUUAGGCCAGAGUAUUACCAUGAGCAAAUCAGAGUGUUUAAACAGGCUUUACAGCUUGAAUGUGUUAGCAUGGAAUAAUGAAAUACGACCGUGGGUUUUAUUUCGUUGGUUUCUAGACCUACAGUAAUGAUGAAUAGGAACGGUUGGGGGCAUUUGUAUUUGGUCGCUAGAGGUGAAAUUCUUGGAUUGACCGAAGACAAACUACUGCGAAAGCAUUUGACCCAGGACGUUUUCAUUGAUCAAGGUCUAAAGUUAGGGGAUCGAAGACGAUUAGAUACCGUCGUAGUCUUAACCACAAACUAUGCCGACUAGAGAUUGGACUUGACCAUUAUGGCUUGUUCAGCAUCUUAGCGAAAGCAAAGUUUUUGGGUUCUGGGGGGAGUAUGGGACGCAAGGCUGAAACUUAAAGGAAUUGACGGAAGGGCACCACCAGGAGUGGAGCCUGCGGCUUAAUUUGACUCAACACGGGGAAACUCACCAGGUCCAGACAUAGUGAGGAUUGACAGAUUGAAAGCUCUUUCUUGAUUCUAUGGGUGGUGGUGCAUGGCCGUUUUAGUUCGUGGAGUGAUUUGUCUGGUUAAUUCCGAUAACGAACGAGACCUUAUUCUGCUAAAUAGCCAAGCCAACUUUUUAGUUGGAUGGCUUGGGCUUCGGCUCACAUUUGGCUUCUUAGAGAGACUAUCGGCUUAAAGUCGAAGGAAGUUUGAGGCAAUAACAGGUCUGUGAUGCCCUUAGAUGUUCUGGGCCGCACGCGCGCUACACUGAUGAAGUCAGCGAGUUUUUAUUCCUUGGCUGGAAAGUCUGGGAAACUUUUGAAACUUCAUCGUGCUGGGGAUAGAGCAUUGCAAUUAUUGCUCUUCAACGAGGAAUUCCUAGUAAGCGCAAGUCAUCAGCUUGCGUUGAUUACGUCCCUGCCCUUUGUACACACCGCCCGUCGCUACUACCGAUUGAAUGGCCAUAGUGAGCAUAUGAGAUUGCUUUCGGCUAGUUGGCAACAACUGGCUUUAAGCGAGAACUAGGGCAAACUAGACUAUUUAGAGGAAGUAAAAGUCGUAACA
rnacentral:rRNA from 1 species